AUUGAACGCUGGCGGCAGGCUUAACACAUGCAAGUCGAGCGGGGUGAUGGUGCUUGCACUAUCACUUAGCGGCGGACGGGUGAGUAAUGCUUAGGAAUCUGCCUAUUAGUGGGGGACAACAUCUCGAAAGGGAUGCUAAUACCGCAUACGUCCUACGGGAGAAAGCAGGGGACCUUUAUGACCUUGCGCUAAUAGAUGAGCCUAAGUCGGAUUAGCUAGUUGGUGGGGUAAAGGCCUACCAAGGCGAUGAUCUGUAGCGGGUCUGAGAGGAUGAUCGGCCACACUGGGACUGAGACACGGCCCAGACUCCUACGGGAGGGAGCAGUGGGGAAUAUUGGACAAUGGGGGGAACCCUGAUCCAGCCAUGCCGCGUGUGUGAAGAAGGCCUUAUGGUUGUAAAGCACUUUAAGCGAGGAGGAGGCCCUUUUGGUUAAUACCCAGAAUGAGUGGACGUUACUCGCAGAAUAAGCACCGGCUAACUCUGUGUCAGCCGCCGCCGUAAGAC
rnacentral:rRNA from 1 species